rnacentral:rRNA from 1 species
AACCCGCCUGUAUGAAGUUGGAAUCGCUAGUAAUCGCGGAUCAGCAUGCCGCGGUGAAUACGUUCCCGGGCCUUGUACACACCGCCCGUCACACCAUGAGAGUCGGGAACACCCGAAGUCCGUAGUCUAACCGCAAGGGGACGCGGCCGAAGGUGGGUUCGAUAAUUGGGGUGAAGUCGUAACAAGGUACC